AUUGACCACCUUGUAUUGUUGGUAAAGAUAAGAGAUAAGCUCUCAGGAUCCAAGUACCCUUCAUCAGGUCUGGGAAAGAAGUAGUUACAGUUCAAGCUAAGUAAGGAGUUGGAACAACCAAUGAAUUGGCAGUUAGCACAAAGGUUAGGGGAAGAGGUAACUAAGGAAAAGGAUGGAUCACCAUGCAGUGCAAUUUGGAUCACUUGACACACUCUUAGAUGAGGCAGCUGUGAUAAUCACAGGAGCCCAGCUGCCAGAGUCUGGGGACACAAUCGCACCAUGUCUCCAAAGGAACAGAAGAACCAAGUAUUACAACUGAGAUGGCAAGACCUAUGUAUCCUCAUUAGAUAAUGGAUGCUGGGAGGAAUGCAACUUGACAAGUGAAAGAGCUCACAUUUUCCUCAGCUGCAAAAAAGGUGAAAGCCUUCCUCGUCCAGCUGGAAGCAAGACAAAGAAGUGGAACAAACCUGCAGUGUUUAAGGAGCUCUUACUCUGCGAGAAACAGACCUUUCCCCAAUCCAGGGAUCCCUCAGUUCCCACCUCCAAAUGAUUUUCCUUCUAUUGCAAGUGCUCCCAGCCUUACCUCCAUAUAACUCUUAAAUUUACUGGGGCUACUAGAUGUGCGUACAUGUGCAUCUGUGGCAGAGUCUCUUUAAUAGUUUAUGUGGGAUUAGUGCAAGGACUUUUUCUUCUAUAGGAAGUACAGAAACACUUUUUGCACAACUGAUCCUGCGGGGAACCCCCUCCCCCCAUCAGCAAGACUGGCCAAGGGAGGACCCCUGCCACCCCUGCCCAGUCACUGGGGGGGCUCGUGUCCUGUCUGACCAAGGCAGCACCAGUCACCCAUGUGUUCAGCCAUGAUAACCCUUCUCUUCGGGUCCUCUGCUAUAAGGGGCUUAUAGUCCUUUGCACCACUUUAGAUUUCAUCCCAUGUAAAUAAUGAGGGACUUGACACAUUUAUGGGAUAUGCUGUGCCAAUUCCAGGAUUACUAACCGCGCUGAGACAAGUAUUUUCUAUUCUGCGUUGCAGCUGGCAUGUUUUAACUUCUCUGAGCAAUCCAAAAAAAGUGUCAUAUUCACAGCCUUGGAGUAGUGCAGGUAUAUAUUUUCCCAAUGUUGAGUUUUAAGCUGAAAUAUCAACUUAAAAACAUAUUUUAAAAGAGAUUUUUGGAAAAAUUAUGAAUUCUUCAUCAUUUCUUCAUCAUUUCCAGCAAACUGGAAAUAUUUAGUGUUUGUAACUAGCUCUACCCUGGAAGUAAAAAUCCAAUCUUUUUUCACAUAAUAGCUGUAAGUCUUUGCAGGACUGGGGUCAUAUUGUUUAAAUAUCAAACUUUGCAAAUAGGGAAAUAGAUAUUAAAACCCUGGAACCAUACCAUAAAACUUCUAAAAUAGAGCAUUUCCAACUAUUUUCUAAAAGCCUGACUCUUAAAUACUUUAGUAAGCUAAUGAUUUACCUCCAUACUUAAUACAGCAACCUAACCUAAUUAUUUUAAGUUAAUGUUUUACAUUUUUUGCAAAAAAAAUAAAUAAAUCUGAGAAUGCCAUAAUAAAUUAAUGAUUUACCUACAGCAUUAUUUUUGCAGGCACACAGACAGAGCAGUUUAAAAGAGCAAUCAUUUAAGAAUUAUAUUAAAGACCAUUCAAAGGAAAGAUAAAAGUGGAUAAAAAGUGUGUAUCAAUAACAUCUUGCUUUUUGUUAAAGUGUGUAUUUAUGGAAAAAAAAAAAAAAAAGAGUUGG